GACGAACGCUGGCGGCGUGCUUAACACAUGCAAGUCGAACGGAAAGGCCCUGCUUUUGUGGGGUGCUCGAGUGGCGAACGGGUGAGUAACACGUGAGUAACCUGCCCUUGACUUUGGGAUAACUUCAGGAAACUGGGGCUAAUACCGGAUAGGAGCUCCUGCUGCAUGGUGGGGGUUGGAAAGUUUCGGCGGUUGGGGAUGGACUCGCGGCGUAUCAGCUUGUUGGUGGGGUAGUGGCUUACCAAGGCUUUGACGGGUAGCCGGCCUGAGAGGGUGACCGGCCACAUUGGGACUGAGAUACGGCGCAGACUCCUACGGGAGGCAGCAGUGGGGAAUAUUGCACAAUGGGCGGAAGCCUGAUGCAGCAACGCCGCGUGCGGGAUGACGGCCUUCGGGUUGUAAACCGCUUUCGCCUGUGACGAAGCGUGAGUGACGGUAAUGGGUAAAGAAGCACCGGCUAACUACGUG
rnacentral:rRNA from 1 species